UACGUAGGGGGCUAGCGUUGUCCGGAAUCAUUGGGCGUAAAGCGCGUGUAGGCGGUUCGGUAAGUCCGCUGUGAAAGUCGGGGGCUCAACCCUCGAAUGCCGGUGGAUACUGUCGGACUAGAGUACGGAAGAGGCGAGUGGAAUUCCUGGUGUAGCGGUGAAAUGCGCAGAUAUCAGGAGGAACACCGGUGGCGAAGGCGGUUCUCUGGGCCUUACCUGACGCUGAGGAGCGAAAGCAUGGGGAGCAAACAGG
rnacentral:rRNA from 1 species